CAACGGAAUAUUCCCUUCACGCUGUUGAUUCACCAAGGUUUCCUUCAUGCCGCUCGUCAAAACGACGCCGGAGCCAUUUAGCGCAGUCUGGAACACGGUGACAUUCUUGGGGGGCUGGUAGAACACCGGCAGGACUCCGUUACACAGGUCGACGUCGGAGUAGUAGACUUUAACUGAGCUGUCUUCCUCGUAGUAGAUACUGAUCUUCUUGUUUGGGUUGUCGGCCCUGACGGUGACAUCGAACUCCGGCGAGAUCGACGCUGUCGCGGCCGCCGAGGAGACAUUGAAGCCGGUGAUGGAGAUGUCCUCGACGGAGUAGCUGAGGGCCUUGGGCCGGAUAACGAGGUAGAAAAUACCAGCGGCGAUGGCGAGUAGGAAGAUGAGGAGCGCGGCGAGGCCGAGGAACCAGCAGAGGCAGCAGCAGCAGCCGCUCCGUCGAGGCUUCCGGCCACUGUACUUCUGGUAGCGGCGGGCGUUUUCGGGAGGCGGGUGGCGGAAGAUCUGGUCCUUGGGGAUCUGGAUGACAUAGGUCCCCGCGGGAGGGACGGGAUUUUCCGGCGUUGGAG
rnacentral:lncRNA from 1 species